GGGAGGCAGUGGGCACACAAAAUGGAGGCAGAGGCAACAUGGCUGACAGAGAAAUUAAAGCUUGAAGACAGAACAACACAGUCACAUCUUAAUGCAGGAACCAGGUCUCUCUCUCCAUAUGAUGCAGCAAAAAUACCGGAGUAUCCUGCACUGCUGUUUUCAACACUCUCCCAAAGCGCAACAUUUUUAACAUGCUUAUAUUACGCAUUCA